AUGUAUCUUGUGAUUCUUUCUUCGUGUGCCGGUCAUGGUUCCCUGAUGCGGUUUAGAUUUUGUGAUUCCCUGACGAGGUUCCCUCACACACGCAGGUGCACGACAGAGCCGGCUGCGUGUGGUGCGUGCGGGGGGAUUCUUCUUCCACUCUGGCAAUCUGAGAGCAGCCAAGCAAGCUUAUUGAGAUAUGUAUCUUGCGAUUCUUUGUGUGCCGGUUACGUCUGCGGGUACGGCUGCACGAGUUCAUGUCUGUCAUUCACACAUGCAAAUUGUGAUGCCUGCUGCUUGCGACAGUUUUGCCCCUGUUCUUCUUCUACUCCGGCAAGAUGGUAA
rnacentral:rRNA from 1 species